UACGUAGGGUGCAGGCGUUAAUCGGAAUUACUGGGCGUAAAGCGUGCGCAGGCGGUUUGCUAAGAGAGAUGUGAAAUCCCCGGGCUUAACCUGGGAACUGCGUUUCUAACUGGCAGGCUUGAGUGUGGCAGAGGGGGGGUGGAAUUCCACGUGUAGCAGUGAAAUGCGUAGAGUAUGUGGAGGAACACCGAUGGCGAAGGCAGCCCCCUGG
rnacentral:rRNA from 1 species